rnacentral:misc_RNA from 1 species
CAUAAAUGAAAUGGCAGCAACAGCGAGCGUUCUUUCCACUCUAAUUUCUGCUCAUUCGACUCCUUCCUUUUUUGUUGCUUUCUCAUCUUUUCCAUUAUCCGGUAACAACCACCGCACCGGCGGCAUUACGAUUAGGAGGCAAUUGCCUUGCUUACGUCUUGGAACACCGGCGACCAACGGUGGUGCCCGUGUGUUGGCGUGUCUUCCAUCUCCGUCAUCUUCUGCUCCCCUUCCCCAAACCCCUAAAACCAGGCUCUACAUCAGUGGGCUAUCUUUUCGUACCACUGAAGAGAGUUUACGAAAUGCUUUUGAAACUUAUGGCCAACUGGUU